GGCAGGGAGGCACUCGUGCCUUCCUGCCGAACAACGUACCCCGGCGCGGUCUGCGCCAAGGAACAUGAACGAAAGAGUGCCUCCGGUCGCCUCGGAAACGCUGCGCGCACCGGAGGCGAAUCUUGUCUAGAACCAUAACGACUCUCGGCAACGGAUAUCUCGGCUCUCGCAUCGAUGAAGAACGUAGCGAAAUGCGAUACUUGGUGUGAAUUGCAGAAUCCCGCGAAUCAUCGAGUCUUUGAACGCAAGUUGCGCCCGAAGCCACCUGGCCGAGGGCACGUCUGCCUGGGUGUCACGCAUCGUUGCCCCCAACCCCAUCGCCCCGCAAAGAGGCGGUGGGGGCAUGCGGGGCGGACAUUGGCCUCCCGUGGGCUGAUGCCUGCGGCUGGCCUAAAAACGAGUCCUCGGCGACGAUCGCCACGACAAUCGGUGUGUGACAAACCCUCUUGAGACGUCGUGCGCGCAUCGCCGCUCAACGCGUGCUCUCUUGAGACUGUGGCGUCGCGCUCGCGAGACUUUUAACGCG
rnacentral:rRNA from 1 species